CCUACGGGUGGCAGCAGUGGGGAAUCUUGCACAAUGGGGGAAACCCUGAUGCAGCGACGCCGCGUGAGUGAAGAAGCGCCUCGGCGCGUAAAGCUCUGUCAGCAGGAACGAUAAUGACGGUACGUGAAGAAGAAGCUCCGGCUAACUACGUGACAGCAGCCGCGGUAAUACGUAGGGGGCAAGCGUUAUCCGGAUUUACUGGGCGUAAAGGGUGCGUAGUCGGCGGGGCAAGUCUGCAGUGAAAGGCCGGGGCGCAACCCCGGGACUGCACUGGAAACUGGCCGGCUGGAGUGCGGGAGAGGUAAGCGGAAUUCCUAGUGUAGCGGUGAAAUGCGGAGAUAUUAGGAGGAACACCAGCGGCGAAGGCGGCUUACUGGACCGUGACUGACGUUGAGGCUCGAAAGCGUGGGGAGCAAACAGGAUUAGAUACCCCUGUAGUC
rnacentral:rRNA from 1 species